UUAUAAAAAAAAAAAUUAAUUAAUAGAAAAUUAAGUGAAAUCAUGAAAUUUAAAUAAUUUGACGGUAUUUUAAAUAGUUAGAGGAAUUUGUUAAGUAAAUGAUAAUCCACGAAUGGAAAGUCCUAAUAUAAUUUUUAUAUAUUGUUGUAUUUAAAUUAUUUUAAAAAAAUUAUAAUUAAAAUAUUUAAUUUAAUUAAAAUUCAAAUCAAAAUGUAGAAUUAUUAGGUUUCAAUGAAUUACAAUUUAAUUUAUUAAUUAAAUUAUAUUUUUUAAAAGAAUAAUUUAAUAGGAUUUAAAAGUAAAUUUAAAAAAAUAUUUAAAUUGAAAUGUAAAUUAAAAUAUG
rnacentral:rRNA from 1 species